GACGAACGCUGGCGGCGUGCUUAACACAUGCAAGUCGAACGGAAAGGCCCUGCUUUUGUGGGGUGCUCGAGUGGCGAACGGGUGAGUAACACGUGAGUAACCUGCCCUUGACUUUGGGAUAACUUCAGGAAACUGGGGCUAAUACCGGAUAGGAGCUCCUGCUGCAUGGUGGGGGUUGGAAAGUUUCGGCGGUUGGGGAUGGACUCGCGGCUUAUCAGCUUGUUGGUGGGGUAGUGGCUUACCAAGGCUUUGACGGGUAGCCGGCCUGAGAGGGUGACCGGCCACAUUGGGACUGAGGUACGGCCCAGACUCCUACGGGAGGCAGCAGUGGGGAAUAUUGCACAAUGGGCGGAAGCCUGAUGCAGCAACGCCGCGUGCGGGAUGACGGCCUUCGGGUUGUAAACAGCUUUCGCCUGUGACGAAGCGUGAGUGACGGUAAUGGGUAAAGAAGCACCGGCUAACUACGUG
rnacentral:rRNA from 1 species